CGAGUCGCCUGAGGGAACUGAUCUCAGCUCGGGCCCGCGUUACAUCCUCCUCCUCUUCUUCCUUCGGCCCAGCUUUCCUUAGGGGCUGCAACCCGGACGCCGAGGCCGGUUUCGGAGUGGGGAGUGCCCAUUUUCUCUCCUUCCCACGUUCCUGGCCCCCAGACGCCAUUUGCAGGCGGGUGGCUUGGGUCAGCCUCCCCGCCCCCACCCGACUCCCGUCACGGGAGAGCGCACACCGCGCCCCGAGAACCAAUCAGCAGCCGCGUUAGGUAACCAUGUCUGAGUCUGGACACAGUCAGCCUGGACUCUAUGGGAUAGAGCGGCGGCGACGGUGGAAGGAGCCUGGCUCUGGUGGCCCCCAGAAUCUCUCUGGGCCUGGUGGUCGGGAGAGGGACUACAUUGCACCAUGGGAAAGAGAGAGAAGGGAUGCCAGCGAAGAGACAAGCACUUCCGUCAUGCAGAAAACCCCCAUCAUCCUCUCAAAACCUCCAGCAGAGCGGGUGAGCAGAGAAGGAGGGAGGAGGGGGAGCCGUUAGGGAAGGGAUUGCCCCCAUUGAUGGGAUUUUUUUUACCUCCGUAGUCAAAACAGCCACCACCUCCAACAGCCCCUGCUGCCCCGCCUGCUCCAGCCCCUCUGGAGAAGCCCAUCGUUCUCAUGAAGCCACGGGAGGAGGGGAAGGG
rnacentral:lncRNA from 1 species